rnacentral:rRNA from 1 species
GCCGGAGGAUGCAAGUGUUAUCCGGAAUCGCUGGGCGUAAAGCGUCUGUAGGGGGUCAAAUAAGUCAACUGUUAAAUCUUGAGGCUCAACCUCAAAAUCGCAGUCGAAACUAUUAGACUAGAGUAUAGUAGGGGUAAAGGGAAUUUCCAGUGGAGCGGUGAAAUGCGUAGAGAUUGGAAAGAACACCGAUGGCGAAGGCACUUUACUGGGCUAUUACUAACACUCAGAGACGAAAGCUAGGGUAGCAAAUGGG